rnacentral:lncRNA from 1 species
UUUGAUACAGUACAUUUACUUCUCUCUCAGAAAGAAGACAUCUCCCUGUAGUUCUCCAAAAGUGCUCAGAGCACACUGUACUACAAUUUCAAAAGGAAACCACCUCUACACAUUCUUACUCUGAUGUGCCCUGAUAGCUUCAGAGAUGCGGAAACACUCCAACCGCCUGGAAGUUGGAAUAAAAGCCAAAAACCUUUGCAACUGAAAGAGUUAAAACAGUCUGCAUGGCGGAAAAUCCCACUGCUUCUCCCUGCCAAAUGGGAGGAAAAAUCAAAGCAAUAAAAAUGAAGAGAAAAGGGGAACAUUCAUGUUAGUAAAUCAAUCAGUUUCUGUACAAUAAUCCUCUUAAAUCCAUCCCCCAAGGUGGGGAGAGCCCUCUUAUCAGGGUCUUCAGUGAAAUCUAUACCAAGGCCUGUCAAUUCUCUCAUGGUUGACAGUCCAUAUUUAGUCCCAUUUAUCUGGAUUUCAGGAUCAUCCUAUGGAAAUGAUCCACUAGUACAAUUAUAGGAGUACUUAGUAAUUUUAUCCCCUUACUCAUUAAUAUUAAUUAGAGCUUGGAGGGGAAAG